rnacentral:rRNA from 1 species
UGGGGAAUAUUGGACAAUGGGCGAAAGCCUGAUCCAGCCAUGCCGCGUGUGUGAAGAAGGUCUUCGGAUUGUAAAGCACUUUAAGUUGGGAGGAAGGGCAGUAAAUUAAUACUUUGCUGUUUUGACGUUACCGACAGAAUAAGCACCGGCUAACUCUGUGCCAGCAGCCGCGGUAAUACAGAGGGUGCAAGCGUUAAUCGGAAUUACUGGGCGUAAAGCGCGCGUAGGUGGUUUGUUAAGUUGGAUGUGAAAGCCCCGGGCUCAACCUGGGAACUGCAUCCAAAACUGGCAAGCUAGAGUACGGUAGAGGGUGGUGGAAUUUCCUGUGUAGCGGUGAAAUGCGUAGAUAUAGGAAGGAACACCAGUGGCGAAGGCGACCACCUGGACUGAUACUGACACUGAGGUGCGAAAGCGUGGGGAGCAAACA